UUUCCGUAGGUGAACCUGCGGAAGGAUCAUUAAUGUAUAACCGACGUGCGAGGUCUGUCGCUGACCCGCUAGGACGAGCACGCAUGAUUGCCCCCACACACCACCAUCCCACCCCGAUCUGCACCACCGCGCGGGUCACCCUAUGUCUUGUUCGGAGGGGGGAUUACGAAUUCACACAAACUAUAAUUGCAGUGUAGAAUGUAUUUUUUGUUUUUGCGAUCACGCAAUCAAGACAACUUUAAACAACUGAACUCUUGACUCUCGCACCGAUGAACAACC
rnacentral:misc_RNA from 1 species